AGAAUCUAUAGCAUAAAAACAUCAAACCAAAGUCAUAUUUUGCUGAGGAAUUUCACAAGACCUGCUUUAGAAAAGGGUAUCACAAUCCAGUGACUAUGACUAGCGAGAAGUUACAUGGCACUAAUAGGCAACAGUCCUCAACUCUGGAAGCACAGCACCUUACAGAUACCACCCUGGACAUACUGCAUAUGGAGAGAGAGAGGGGAAGAGGAGCAGAGGAAGAGGGAGA